UAUGGAACUCAUGGUGUAGGGGUGAAAUCCGUUGAUAUCAUGGGGAACACCAAAAGCGAAGGCAAUAGACUGGUGCACUCCUGACGCUGAGAUACGAAAGCGUGGGUAGCGAACGGGAUUAGAUACCCCGGUAGUCCACGCCCUAAACGAUGUCCGCUAGCUCUUUGGAGUAUCGACCCUCUGAGGGGUGAAGCUAACGCGUUAAGCGGACCGCCUGGGUAGUACGGCCGCAAGGCUAAAACUCAAAGGAAUAGACGGGGGCUUGCACAAGCGGUGGAUCAUGCGGCUCAAUUCGAUGAUAAACGAAGAACCUUACCAGGACUUGAAACCAAAUUGAAAGUUUUGUGAAAGCAAAACCCUCUUCGGACAGUUUGGCAGGUGUUGCAUGGCCGUCGUCAGUUCGUGAUUUGAAUUGUUCCCUUAAGUGGGGAAACGAACGCAACCCUUAUUGCCUGUUAUACGUGUCAGGCGAGACUGCUCCCUCACGGGAGAGGAAGGUGGGGAUGACGCCAGGUCAGCAUGACCCUUUGAUGUCCUGGGCUGCACGCAUGAUACAAUGGUCACUACAACGGGACGCAAUGCCGCAAGGUGGAGCAAAUCCUUAUAAAAGUGGCCCAAGUUCGGAUUGAGGUCUGCAAUUUGACCUCAUGAAGUUGGAAUCGCUAGUAAUCGCGGGUCAGCUAUACCGCGGUGAAUACGUUCUCAAGCCUUGUACUCACCGCCCGUCAAGUCAAGGAAGUCGGGAGUGCUCAAAGUCCCAGCACUAUUUUUAGGAAAUUAAAAUUUCUUUUCGUAAAAAUGGUGCUGGGCCUACAGUAAACUCGAUAACAGGGGCUAAGUCGUAACAAGGCACGGCUAGCGGAAGCUGGUCGUG
rnacentral:rRNA from 1 species